rnacentral:rRNA from 1 species
GACGAACGCUGGCGGCGUGCCUAAUACAUGCAAGUUGAGCGCUGAAGGCUGGUACUUGUACCAACUGGAUGAGCAGCGCACGGGUGAGUAACGCGUGGGGAAUCUGCCUUUGAGCGGGGGACAACAUUUGGAAACGAAUGCUUAUACCGCAUAAGGACUUGAAACACAAGUUUGAAGGUUGAAAGAUGCAAUUGCAUCACUCAAAGAUGAUCCCGCGUUGUAUUAGCUAGUUGGUGAGGUAAAGGCUCACCAAGGCGAUGAUACAUAGCCGACCUGAGAGGGUGAUCGGCCACAUUGGGACUGUGACACGGCCCAUACUCCUACGGGAGGCAGCAGUAGUGCAUCGUCGGCAAUGGACGAAAGUCUGACCGAGCAACGCCGCGUGAGUGAAGAGGGUUGUCGGGUCGUAAAACUCUGUUGGUAGAGAAGAACGUUGGUGAGAGUGGAAAGCUCAUCAAGUGACGGUAACUACCCAGAAAGGGACGGCUAACUACGUG